AGAGUUUGAUCCUGGCUCAGGACGAACGCUGGCGGCGUGCUUAACACAUGCAAGUCGAACGGAAAGGCCCUUCGGGGUACUCGAGUGGCGAACGGGUGAGUAACACGUGGGUGAUCUGCCCUGCACUUUGGGAUAAGCCUGGGAAACUGGGUCUAAUACCGAAUAGGACCAUGGCAUGCAUGUGCUGUGGUGGAAAGCUUUUGCGGUGUGGGAUGGGCCCGCGGCCUAUCAGCUUGUUGGUGGGGUGAUGGCCUACCAAGGCGACGACGGGUAGCCGGCCUGAGAGGGUGUCCGGCCACACUGGGACUGAGAUACGGCCCAGACUCCUACGGGAGGUAGCAGUGGGGAAUAUUGCACAAUGGGCGCAAGCCUGAUGCAGCGACGCCGCGUGAGGGAUGACGGCCUUCGGGUUGUAAACCUCUUUCGCCAGGGACGAAGCGCAAGUGACGGUACCUGGAGAAGAAGCACCGGCCAACUACGUGCCAGCAGCCGCGGUAAUACGUAGGGUGCGAGCGUUGUCCGGAAUUACUGGGCGUAAAGAGCUCGUAGGUGGUUUGUCGCGUUGUUCGUGAAAACUCACAGCUUAACUGUGGGCGUGCG
rnacentral:rRNA from 1 species